GCACUGUCUCCUCCAGCUCCGGCACACUGCAGGGCACAGGGGAGUGGCAGAGGUGGUUCCAGGAUGUGCUGCUUGGCCCAGGUUGCUGAUCCUGCCUUUCCAGCAUAUAUCCUGGGCAUCUGAACAUGGGGUCAGGGUCUGGCCUGAGCAGGGUCAAGGUCAGAGUCUGAACUCCCACUCCACCCCUGGGGGUGACCGUGGACACGGCCCAGCUCGUCUGUGAGGGGGACACAAUGGUAAUCGCACAUGACAGUGUAGACAUGAGGCAGACCACCCUUGAGCCGGGCUGGCCUUGUUGCUGCCGGGCCAAGGGGGCAGAACCUUGAGUUUCUCCCUGCACUGGUCCCUGGGCACUUGGGCAUUGAUUCCACUUGCAUUUUACACGGGUCUGAGAGGGAUAGACAGUGAACACCCCGUGUGUGUAUACGUGUAUGUGCGUGUGCAUGUUUGCACAGAAAGAAGGUAUGGGGGGGACCAAGGGAACAUUCACAUCACGCAGUAUGGUCUCUGAUCUUCUAUUCCCCACCAUUGUCUUACAAAAGUUCCCAGUGCAGCCAAGUUGAAGCAUUUCCUCCUGAGCCCGUCAGCCUCCCCUCAGUGUCACCCGGGCCAUUCCUGUCCUCUGCGUCAGAGCUCCAGGCUGACUGUGAAAACAAGGGGCAGCCAGCAAGGGGCUCUGUCAGCACAGCAGUGUGGUGUCCAUGGGGAAGUUUCCCUAAGGACAGGGCGGUGCGCCAGCCCCUAGCCAGCAAGCAGGGCUUUGGCUCCUCUGCGGAAGUGAGGGGGCUGUUGCUUCCCCAGGGCCUUCUCUAAGCCCCGAGGCCACAGACGAUACUGCCCCCUCCCGGGGAGACCAUGGCAGCCAGGGCCCUGCUCCUCCAUGGCACGGGGCUGACUCUGUUUGACUGUACCCCCAGGCCCCUGCCAAGCUGGAGCUGAGCCAGGGAGGCAAAGCACCCCAGCUGUGGGAUCCUCCACCUUCCAAACCACGUCCACUCACCCACCACCCCUCGGCCUCUGCGGUGCUGCCUUCAGCCGCCCCAGAGUCCUGUGGGCCCCCUCGUCGUGAAUGUGUGUUGUCCCAAGAACCUGGGCCUUUCCCUGGGCCCCAGGGAACGUGCAGGGGAUUAGGCGGGCAGCCCAGCUUCCAGACCACGCUACCAGGCCCACAGGGCCUGUGGGAUGCCUCAGCAGGGCUAGGCACCCAGAGGGGCAGUGCCUAGUGGGCAGGGAGCCGAGCAUGCUCAUCACUCCUCCAAAGCACUAUCCCAGGAAGGGGGAGGAGACCCUUCUUCACCCUUCUUGGGGGGUCUAGGACCUGUUGGUCUCCGCUUGGCUCCCUCCCUCUGGCCAGGGCACGCUCAGGGCUGGCUGUGCCCGGAGGAGGCGGCGUGGGCGUGCUCCCAGGCGGGGUGGGUGGAGGGAAGAGGGAUGUGGCAGCGUGGUGCACUGGAGUUCACAUUCCUCUGCAGGUCAGCAGCCUUCUUAGUUGUCUGCUUCCUGUUUGUGGCGCUCUUGUUAAACAUCACUGGGCAGAUUCCUUCAUCCCACCCUCCUCCUUCCAUCCCGCCCUGGCCCUCCCUCCGGUGCCUCCCUUGAACCUUUUUGAGGAGCCUUCAUUGUGAAAGCAUCUGCAGUAAGCGAGAGCCAUCCUGUACCAGGGGAGGAAAGGCUGUGGCGGGCUGCAGGGUGGCAGGGGCUCCGGUCCCGUGCUCGGAGGCCCCUCAGCGUGGGAAGCGAUGGGGUCAGGACUACACCCUGCAGAGCAAGCUGGGCCGGGCCAGACAGGCAGGGUCCUUUGGGUGUGCUUGUGGCAGCCCCUGCCUGGGUUGCAGGUCAGGUGCCAGCAGGGCUGGGCAGGGGUUGCAGAGCUAGAUGACGGGCAGCGUUUGACUCUCACUGCGUGGGGAUGUGGGCCCUGGGUCCCUUCUGUCUCACUCUGAUUAAAAACACUGUCUCGGUGAAAUAGCCUGUGCUGGGGCAGCCAGCAGUCAGAGGCCGGAGGAAGGGCCAAGAAGCCUGCAUUUCCGGCACUGCUCCCCACAGAGCCCUCGUGCUAUCGGGACCCCGCAGUGGCUGUGCUGGAGAAAGGGCAGCCAGAGGAAGGUACUGGGCAUUGAUGAGGCCCCUGCCCGUGCGGCUGGGUCACCACGUCCUGAGAGCCCUGAGCUCUGCGUUGCUCGCUCCGGAAGAGGAGGAGACAAAUGUGCAUGAAGCUUUCUCCUCUGAAACCCUUCAGCCUGCGCCAGACCCGCCAGCCACCGGGUACAUGGUAGGCGCCUCCUCCAUGGGGCUCCUCAUGGGCCACUCAGGGGAGACUCCUGAGUGCGGCUUUAGCAUAGCGUGUUCGGAGCUGGGCCUGGCACAGAAAGCCCCGGGCCCUGCAUCCUCCCACACACCCUUCCCACCGAGUGACCAUGCAGCUGCCAAAGCACAGAGCUUUAAGCACUCGCUAGGUGGAGGCCAGGGCCACAGUGCCCCCCAGGACCACAGUAAUGCCCAUCUUGCUCAUGGGUGCCUCCUUCAUGCCAGGGGCCCAGCACUUUUCUUGUGAGUAGGAGCUUGGUCUUACUACAGGGUCACUAGAGGUUGCAGAUCCUGCUGAUUGUCACUUAGGGUGAUCAGCUCUUGGGAAUCUUUAAUAAGCUUUUAAAUUAUUAUCAGUCACAACUUCAUGGACUCUAGGCAGAUGGGACCCAAAUGAAAGGGAAUUGUAGAAUCAUGCCCAGAGGUGUGGACCCAUAGGGACCUUGGUUCACUCCUCGGCCAGCCCUCAAAGUGAGGAGUCCAGUAAGCCCCUGAAAGUGCUGUCGCCUACCCCUGCAUUGUCCCCACGGCCCUCAGCACAGGUCAUCCUUUACAGGAGGAGCUGCGGCUCAGUGUGCGCGGUACAGCCUGUCUGGUAAGUGUCAGAGCUAGGGUUCAACCUAGAGCGCUCACUCCUGACCACUCUGCCAGAGGCCCUCUGUACAGAAACUGGACAGGAAGGAUUGCCACCAAGUCUUGGCCACCACUGCAGCUACCACUGGUGCCACCACCAGCACUUUACCCACCUCUCCACGGCCACACGUGGUACUGUCCCAUUCCACAGGGCAGGGGGUGGAUGCUCCUUGCUCACGGUGGCAGUCAGUGGUGGCCAGUGUCUUAAUCUGCCCCUGGUCCCUAGGGAGGCUGCUGUGGACGCAGAACCCCUCUCUAGGGGGCUCCCACCCAUUCCCAGGACUCAGGUUCCAGCAGAAUCCUGCACCAUGUGUGGAGACAGCAGGCAGGCUCAGUCACUCUAUGUCCCGGACAGCUGGCAUUCUUCAUUCCUCCACCAGGAUUUUGGUGCUACUGACAGAACCCUGCCGUGUCAGAGUUUCUGUUGGAUGCUGGCGUGGAGUUGGAGGUGAUGCGGAGUCUAUGCUGUCCACAGACAGUACUUUGCAUGCCCCCUCACCAGCUUGGGAGGACAGGGAGCCAGGCCAGGGCUGUGGGCCCUUGCUUGUCCAGGUCAGAGCUAGGAAGCCUAUGGUACAUGCGGUUGCCUGCUGGUCCCUCCUCGCCCAGCAGGCCUGGUAUCACUGGCCAUCUUCCUUUCGCCAGCCUUCCUGUACCAAGUACCUGCUCUUCCACGUACAAGCCUUUGUCCCGGUGUCAGACACAGCUCUAGCUUUUGGGUGCCCGGCUCCAUGAAUUCGCUGUGGAUUGUCUGUGUCCACAGUGCUGUGUGCACCCAGCCCCCAGAGCCCCUGCUCCCUUGCAGCUCAGGCUGGGGGCCCACAGCAGGCAUCCCUGUGCCAGGUCAGAGGCUGGCAGUCCAAGUUCACAGGGGCUGGCAGGGCUGGUUUGACGGAGGCCUUUCUCCUUGGCUUGUGGAUGCCACACUCUCCUUGUGUCUGCAUGUGGUCUCCUGUGUGUGCCUGUGUCCUCGUCUGUUCUAACAAGGGUACCCGUCACCUAUGGGAUUAGGACUCACCAUGAUAGCCUCGUGUUAACUUCCCUUCUUGUAAGACCACAGCCUCACUGUGAGGUCCUGGAGGCUGGUACCUCUGCCUGUGAAGGUGGGGAUGCGUUCAGUUCGUCACAGUGAGAAGGGUGACAUUAUGCAGAUGGUCUCCCACCUGCUUCUGAGCCACAUUUGUGGGCCACAUUUGUGCUGUGUGGUACCCGAGGUCUUAUUGCGGAGCCCCCGGCUAAGGCUGGCAUCAAAGCGACUUACAGGGGGCACUGCUCUGGACGGUGAAGACAUGUGAGGCCUCUGUGUUCCUAGAACAUGCCCGUGUAGGCCCACACAUAGCAUAAAGGGCACAGCAGUGCUGUGAGGGCCAUUCCUGCAGGCCAUGAGUGUCACCUCAGCCUCAGUCCACCAGUGUGGAUUCCCGUGUCUGUGAGUUAAAGCCUCAUCUCUAAGACUGUGACAGGAUUCUGCCUGUCCUUAGGCUGAGGACCACGGACUUAAGUCCCCUCCCGCACAUUACAGGGAAGGAGCCUGGGCUUAGAGACCCAGGCAUGAGAGGGGCACCUCAGCUGCAGCUGGGCCUGACACCCCAGGACUGUUGACACGUCAGUUCAGUCCUGACACCCGAGACUGUCGGCCUUGCCUUGCCCUGGCUCCCUCUGGUAGGUGGAGGAACCAGCUGUCCAGUAAGAUACCCUGUCCUGGCACUUCCUCCCACCCAGAACAGCAGGCCUCUAGCGCCACCACCUUGCUCAGGCCCACCCCCAUGCAAGCCAGCUUCCCUGCGGGCAGGCCGUACACAGGGCCAGGGUUCUGCAUUUGCUUGCUCGAUGCUUGUUCCUGCCACCACCAGCUAGGAGAACUGGGCCUCCAGGACUCUAUGGAGGAGUUGCAUGCGUAGGCCUGGGUCACAGCCUUUGUCUGAGGUCAGCAGCAGCAUUUCCUGUCUUCAGCCACAGCAGGCGCAGAGUUGGGUGGAUGGCUGCAUUUGGUGUAGACCUGCAGCCCCCACAUACAAGGAAUGGUGUCUUCUGUAUUUUGUUUGAAAGAAGAAGAGUUUAAACAACUGCCUGCAUUAAAAUCCCUGCCUGGCCGUGGCUGCACCACCGUGAAUCAGGCCACCUUCCCCACACGUUCACCUUCCUGGGCCCACUUUGCAGGGUGUCCUGGGCGUCCAGCUGGUAUAGUGUGUGACAGUCCAGUCUCAAGUGCCCAGCAUGUGCCUGGUGCCUAGAAGGUGAGGUGGCCCCCUUGCCUGGCCUGUUUGCCCCUGGAAGCCUGGUGGUGCAGGGCCAAGGCCUGGCACAUCUGCAGAGGCGCCACCACUCAGCUGCACACCAGUGUUGCUGGGCUCUAGUGGCCACAGUGUCACCACAUCAUCCAGUGUUUCAAGAGAGACUAGCAACGUGGAUUAUUUUUACGCGACAGCUUCUCAGACAUGGGCCACCAGGUGUGGCCCCGUGCUGGUGCCAGGCCUGUGAUACACUGCCCCUUUCUCUACUGCAACCUAUAGGAGAAUCUUUCCUCUCAGCUCCCUGAAGGGACACCUAGGUGACCGUCCAGACCCUGGGGCGGCCAGAUAGAAGGGAACCUGACAGCACUGGGCUGCAAGACUCCUAGAAACCCACGGAAGAAAAAGUAAAGAGUUGCCUUUGUGCCCAAGGAUGAGGAUGCUGAGAGUUCUGGGGUUGUGCAUGGCAUUGUGCUGGGCUGUGUGCUCCCCUGGGGCUCAGAUGAAACUGCUUUCCUUCCCCCGUAAAACCUGCUGUCCUGCCUGGCCAGCCUCUGGUGGCGGCUGCAGUCUGUGGAGCAGCCCUGUCUCUUGUCCUUGGGCUUCCCCUGGAGCCCUCGGCCAGCUGCCUGGAGUGUGGUUCCUGCCAGCACCACAUUGGCUCUUGCUGAAAGACGUUGGCAGGGCUGGCAUUCGUGCACACUUGGCAUCUUCUGCGCACUCCGAGACUUUGGAAGCAGGGGAUGUCACCAAGAAAGAGUCAGCAGACGGGAGCUGCAGCCCCGGCCGGAAUGUGAGCCUUUCUGAGCUGGUGUCCUCGUCAGAUGCGUUGUGUGGAGGGCCCCCUCCCUGCACUGUGGACGACUCCGAGCAGGAGGAGAGCUGAGGUGCACCUCUCGGAGUGCUGCCCCACCGAGCCUGACAGCUGCUACCAGGCUGUUGUGGUCGCUUUCCCAGUGCGUGCAUGAGCCCUUUGAAUGCCAGCUGUCGUGCCAAGGCUGUGCCUGUGAUCUUCAGCCCCUGUUCCUAGGAAUAGGACAUCCUCCUGUAGGAAUGAAAUACACUUGUCACUUGAGAUAGUUA